UCCGGUUUGUCACCGGCAGUCUCGCAUGAGUCCCCAACUAAAUGCUGGCAACAUGCGACGGGGGUUGCGCUCGUUGCGGGACUUAACCCAACAUCUCACGACACGAGCUGACGACAGCCAUGCAGCACCUGUGUCCCUGUCCCCGAAGGGAAAACCGGAUCUCUCCGGCGGUCAGGGCAUGUCAAAAGGUGGUAAGGUUUUUCGCGUUGCAUCGAAUUAAACCACAUCAUCCACCGCUUGUGCGGGUCCCCGUCAAUUCCUUGGAGUUUCAACCUUGCGGCCGUACUCCCCAGGCGGUCAAUUUCACGCGUUAGCUUCGUUACUGAGUCAGUGAAGACCCAACAACCAGUUGACAUCGUUUAGGGCGUGGACUAC
rnacentral:misc_RNA from 1 species